ACUCCAAUCUCAGCCCCUGUCUUCACGUGGCCUUCUCCUCUUCUCUCCUUUCUUAGUCUCUUAUGACACUUGUCCCUGCAUUUAGGGCUCACCCAGAAAUCCAGGAUGAUCUCGCUUCGAGAUCCUUAACUGAAUUACGUCUGCAAAGAUUGUUUUUCCAAAUAAGGUCACGUUCUGGGGAUUAAGACUCAGCUAUAUCUUUUCUGGGGGGCCACCAUCCAACCGCCUACAGUGGGAAGUGCAGGAACCAUUGAGCUCCUGUAGAUCUAACGCCUGGUGCAUAGAAGGCCUUGCCAGUCUUGACCAGGUCGGGGGGUGAGGUCAAGAUUCGGCACUGCUAAUCAGCUUCCAGGUGAGGCCAAGGUCGCGCCAUGUUGUUGAAUGCAGUCCCUUCAUGUUACAGAGAGCAGAGGGGACCACAGCCCGAGCCCCCUGCUGCCUCCCAGAGCGAGGCUCUCCUCAUCGUGGACUCACCGCCCUCUGUGUGCCUCGUCCAUCACAUACAUCCUAAGUGUCCCUCCCAGCCUGUGAGCUUCUAGAAGGCAUUGCAACCCGGCACAGGAGCUGACACUUACAAAUAUUCAGGAACAAGCCAGUCCUCGAAGUCUCAUGUAGGGGAAAGAUCAUGAGAUCUGGAGGUGAAGGAGUGGCCCUAACUGGCCCUAAACACUUCAAGUGCCCCUGGGCACGUGGUUUCAUGGCUCUGAGCCUCGAUUUCUUCCUCUGGACAGGGUCUUCCUCUGUCACCCAGGCUGCAGUGCAGUGGCGCAAUCAUGGCUCACCGCAGCCUCCACCUCCUGGGAUCAAGGGAUCCUCCCACCUCAGCACCCCGAGUAGCUGGGACCACAGGCGGACGCCACAGCAUCUGGCUGUUUGUAUAUUUUGUAGACAGGGUUUCACCAUGUUGGCCAGGCUGGUCUCGAAUUCCUGGGCUCAAAUGAUCCACCUGCCUCAGCCUCCCAAAGUGCUAGGAUUACAGGAGUGACCCACCGUGCCCAGCACCCCCUUUACCUCUGAGCAAUCCAUCUCUCUCCUUGGGGGCACCCCAUGAUCUAGACACCACCCACCUUGUUCUGCCUUGGCCAAAAUACCACCUAACUGCCCCCACCUAUGCCAGGUGCCCCUCACCCACCCUCCUCCACCCUUCGCUGAGUCCCACUUGGCUGGUGCCCAGGACAGGGACAGUCCCAGCCCUUCCAGCCCAUCUCCCCACAUCAGUACACUCCGGAGAGCCAGCCAAGAGUAGAUUCUUUAUUCAUUUCUCUUUUUUUUCUUAAAAAAAAAAGUAUUCAUUUGGUAUAAAAAAUAAAUAUUUUAAAUAUGAC
rnacentral:lncRNA from 1 species